rnacentral:lncRNA from 1 species
CUGUCUAUCCAUCUCCUCAGUAGAAAGGGGGGACCUUGGGAGAUAAGGAGAGGGGAGGGGAGUGGUCUAUCUCAGGAACAAGGAAGGAGUGGCCCAGGUCACCUUUUCUGGAAGUCAAUCCAUCCCCCUCCCUGCAGGAAAGCAGCUUCCGGCCUCCCCAGACCUUCAGUGGAAGAGGGCAGGGGCCCUGGCCCCAGCCCCACACAUUCAUUCUACCCUUUGUUCCUCGACUGCUGGCCCACCUCAUACAGGGAACUCUCUUUUCCUGAGCUUUUGUCCUUCCAAAAGUGACACAAGGGGAGCAAUUCUAUUCCUGUUGACCUCAUAGAAAAUAAAAUGCAGAAUUCAUUAUUCUAGCGUUGGAUCUGCGUGCGUGAGGUUUUGUCACAAUCACUGCAGUCUAACUCAAAGCCGCCUGUCACGUCCCCACAGAGCCCAGGGGUGCCAGCACCCCACAAGAGCACCCCCACAAAGCUCACACUCUCCACUCCGUGCCCCGCACCUCCUGUCCUUCUGUGCCACCCAGGCCCUCUUGUGGCCCAGGACUAAGCAAAGGAGGAGGACCAGAGGAAAGGGCGGGUUCAAGGAGCCCGACUCUGGGAAAACAGGUUCAGGGGAGAAGACAAGCAGCCCACAGAAGGUUCCUCCUCGCUUUCUCUCUCCCUUUAAUGCUAGCUUGACCUGCAGCAGCAGGGGAGCAGUAGUGAGUCUGCAGUCAGGGUCCCACAAAGAUCUCAAGUUCACCAGGAAAGCCCCGGCCUGCCUGGGGAGCCACGACAAAGGCCGGAAGUGGGAUGCAACGCUAAGGAGGUGCUGAUUUAUCUUGUCUAAUGUAAGAGGAUGGAAAACAGGAGCUUCCCAUCUGCACCCUAAGAGGAAGGUGGGUGAGUCAGUGUCCCACCCUAGACCUGCACUGGGGACGUCUGGACCAUUCCAAAGACAAAGGGAGUUUGUGAGAAUAACUGUACUCCUGGGAGAGAAGAGAACUUCUCAGACUCCUGAAGGACCUGUCUGAGCUCAGAGACAGCCAGAGGGAGGAACCACAGUCUUCCAUUCAGCGAGAAGUCCUCCUCUCCAAGGAGCUGUCUCUCAUCUCUUCAGAGUCCCCUAAGUCAGUCCGAGGGCCUUCUGUGUGCCACUUAGGAUUAGGUUCUCAACUGCAAGUGGCGGAAAACUCCACCCCAAAUAACAACGGUGCAAACGAGGGCUUCUAGGUAAAGCAAGGCUAGAGAUUCAGCCCAGGGUUGGAGUGACUGCUUCCUGGUCAUCAGGAUUCCUGGAUCUUCUACUUUCCAUUAUUUUCUGGUCCAAGGUACUUAGUAAUUCAAAGUGACUGCUCCAUCUCCACCGAUGAUGCCCAAAUUCCAGCCAUCAGGAAGAAAACAUCUCUACCCAUAAAGACAUAUCCUGACAAUGGUAGUCACUGGUCAGGAUUUAAUCAUAUGGGCAUUUCUGGCUGCAAAGGAGGCUGGGAAAAGUACCCUUUAUUCCAGGCAGUCACCAGCACAUUUAAAUACGGAGCCUUCUGUUACUCUGCCCCCUCUCUGUUGCUAAUAAGACAGUACCACAGACAUUUUAAAGCAAAUAACUUCUUUGUGGCUAAUUAUUCACAUCAAAGGUUGGAGGGGCUGCAUCUGGUGACGGCCUUCUUGUUGGUAGGAUUUAAAUUUGUUUAGUCAAUAAAUAUCUGUGAAACACCUGAGCAAGUUCCUGGGGCUCAGUGCUACAAAGCCACUCCUCUCUGCAGAGAUUAUGUCUCAGUGCAGGAGGGAGAUGUUCAAGAAAUAAUUGCACCAUGGUGUGCAGAGUACAACGGUGAUACACACCAUUGUCCUAAGAAGAUGCUACUAAAGACCCACCCUCAAAAGACCACGUUCUCUGCUCCAGGGCCUUUCUCUGGAUGGAAGGAAUUAGUGCUUUUAUGUCCGGCCAGUGUAGGCUGGGAUCCCCAGGAGCAGCUGACACGAGUGGAGAGCAACGGCGGGACUAAUGCCCCGGGUCUUGGCCACUAGAUGGGCCAGCUCAGCGGCGUGUGCGGCAGUCUUCCACAGGCACCCAGAUUCCCACGGCAGCCACCUGCCCAGUACGGCACAAAGCGUUGCCUGUCCUGCCUUUCCCCGUCUCACUUUCCAGCAGCAGAGGACUCGUGCUUCCGGCAGUCGCUCCCCAAAUAAAAGGAAAACUCCUGUGCUCCCAC